rnacentral:rRNA from 1 species
CACGUAGGGGGCAAGCGUUGUCCGGAUUUAUUGGGCGUAAAGAGCUCGUAGGCGGUUCGGCAAGUCGGGUGUGAAACCCCCAGGCUCAACCUGGGGACGCCACCCGAUACUGCUGUGACUUGAGUCCGGUAGGGGAGCGUGGAAUUCCUGGUGUAGCGGUGAAAUGCGCAGAUAUCAGGAGGAACACCAGCGGCGAAGGCGGCGCUCUGGGCCGGUACUGACGCUGAGGAGCGAAAGCGUGGGUAGCAAACAGG